CAACAUUGGUGCUGGAGAUGC
rnacentral:siRNA from 1 species